rnacentral:rRNA from 1 species
AGAGCGAACGCUGGCGGCAGGCUUAACACAUGCAAGUCGAGCGGGCGUAGCAAUACGUCAGCGGCAGACGGGUGAGUAACGCGUGGGAACGUACCUUUUGGUUCGGAACAACACAGGGAAACUUGUGCUAAUACCGGAUAAGCCCUUACGGGGAAAGAUUUAUCGCCGAAAGAUCGGCCCGCGUCUGAUUAGCUAGUUGGUGAGGUAAUGGCUCACCAAGGCGACGAUCAGUAGCUGGUCUGAGAGGAUGAUCAGCCACAUUGGGACUGAGACACGGCCCAAACUCCUACGGGAGGCAGCAGUGGGGAAUAUUGGACAAUGGGCGCAAGCCUGAUCCAGCCAUGCCGCGUGAGUGAUGAAGGCCCUAGGGUUGUAAAGCUCUUUUGUGCGGGAAGAUAAUGACGGUACCGCAAGAAUAAGCCCGGCUAACUUCGUGCCAGCAGCCGC